GGGGGCGUAAAGGUUUCGACGGGGAUCAAGAACUGAGGUAAGCGAGCAGAGCGGGCGGAAGCUCUUUAAUCGCCGCAACUUAAAAUUAAACGCUAACGAUAACGAAUUAGCUUACGCUGCCUAAUUAGGCGCGUCGUCCAUGCCGGAAGGGACCACGGGUCCGGCAGGGCGUCAAACAAGUGGUGAACGUAUCAUCGGAUCGGUUCAGCCGAUGAUAGGAACAAGAACCUACUGAAACGGUGAGCCUGCCCUUCGGCGCAUCGCAGAGGGAAUGGAAAAAGAAACGGCUAUGCUCGUAGAAAGCUUUGGGGACAGAUUUUCGGACAGGAGUUCGACUCUCCUCGCCUCCACCA
rnacentral:tmRNA from 1 species